AGCUCCAAUAGCGUAUAUUAAUGUUGUUGCAGUUAAAAAGCUCGUAGUUGGAUUUCGAAUGGGAGCGGCAGGUCGGCUCCGCAAGGGGUCGCAACCGUGUUGUCUCUGGUUCUAUUUCGGGAACCUUGGUCAUGGCGUUAGUUCGUCGUGGUUGAGUCCCGUCGUUUACUGUGAACAAAUUAGAGUGUUCCAAGCAAGGCUUGACUUGAAUACAUUAGCAUGGAAUAAUAAGAUAGGACUUUGGUGGUUCUGCCCUCGGGUAGAUAUUUUGUUGGUUUGCACGCCAAAGUAAUGAUUAAUAGGAGCAGUUGGGGGUAUUCGUAUUCAAUUGUCAGAGGUGAAAUUCUUGGAUUUCUAGAAGACGAACUACUGCGAAAGCAUUUACCAAGGAUGUUUUCA
rnacentral:rRNA from 1 species